rnacentral:rRNA from 1 species
UCUUGGUCAUUUCGAGGAAGUAAAAGUCGUAACAAGGUUUCCGUAGGUGAACCUGCGGAAGGAUCAUUAUUGAAAUAAACCUGAUGGGUUGUUGCUGGCUCUCUAGGGAGCAUGUGCACGCCUUGUCAUCUUUAUAUUUUGCUUCAUUUACCCCCCAAUGUAUGUCAAUAGAAUGUUGUGCCUAUAAUAAUAUAUACAACUUUCAGCAACGGAUCUCUUGGCUCUCGCAUCGAUGAAGAACGCAGCGAAAUGCGAUAAGUAAUGUGAAUUGCAGAAUUCAGUGAAUCAUCGAAUCUUUGAACGCACCUUGCGCUCCUUGGUAUUCCGAGGAGCAUGCCUGUUUGAGUGUCAUUAAUAUAUAUAUCAAACCUUCUCUUUGUUGAGUGGUUUUGGAUGUGGGGGUUUGCUGGCCUCUUAAAAAGGUUCAGCUCCUCUGAAAUGCAUUAGCAGAACAAACCUGUUCAUUGGUGUGAUAACUAUCUACGCUAUUGAAUGUAAGGGGCAGUUCAGCUCUCUAAUGGUCCUCGGACAAUUCAUCAUUAAUGUGACCUCAAAUCAGGUAGGACUACCCGCUGAACUUAAGCAUAUCA